rnacentral:rRNA from 1 species
UAAGGAAUAUUGCACAAUGGGGGGAACCCUGAUGCAGCAACGCCGCGUGGGUGAAGAAGGCUUUCGAGUUGUAAAACCCUUUUCUGUGGGAUGAGGAAGGACAGUAACACAGGAACAAGUCUCGGCUAACUACGUGCCAGCAGCCGCGGUAAUACGUAGGGGGCGAGCGUUAUUCGGAAUUACUGGGUGUAAAGGGUAUGUAGGCGGCCCUUCAAGUCGCGUGUCAAAGUCCAGUGCUCAACGCUGGGUGUGCGCGCGAUACUGACGGGCUUGAGGGCUGGAGAGGUGAGCGGAAUUCCCGGUGUAGUGGUAAAAUACGUAGAGAUCGGGAGGAACACCAGCGGCGCAGGCGGCUCACUAGACAGUUUCUGACGCUAAGAUACGAAAGCGUGGGGAGCAAACA